rnacentral:rRNA from 1 species
UAGGGAAUUUUUCACAAUGAGCGAAAGCUUGAUGGAGCAAUGCCGCGUGAACGAUGAAGGUCUUUAAGAUUGUAAAGUUCUUUUAUUUGGGAAGAAUGACUUUAGCAGGUAAUGGCUAGAGUUUGACUGUACCAUUUUGAAUAAGUGACGACUAACUAUGUGCCAGCAGUCGCGGUAAUACAUAGGUCGCAAGCGUUAUCCGGAUUUAUUGGGCGUAAAGCAAGCGCAGGCGGAUUGAAAAGUCUGGUGUUAAAGGCAGCUGCUUAACAGUUGUAUGCAUUGGAAACUAUUAAUCUAGAGUGUGGUAGGGAGUUUUGGAAUUUCAUGUGGAGCGGUGAAAUGCGUAGAUAUAUGAAGGAACACCAGUGGCGAAGGCGAAAACUUAGGCCAUUACUGACGCUUAGGCUUGAAAGUGUGGGGAGCAAAUAGGAUUAGAUACCCUAGUAGUCCACACCGUAAACGAUAGAUACUAGCUGUCGGGGCGAUCCCCUUGGUAGUGAAGUUAACACAUUAAGUAUCUCGCCUGGGUAGUACAUUCGCAAGAAUG